rnacentral:lncRNA from 1 species
CGAAACCCCCCAAAUUCCUACAGCGGAGCCCCAAAACCACCCAAACCCUUACGGGGAGCCUCGAAACCACCAAAAUUCCCAGUGGGGAGCCUUAAAACCCCCGUAAUUCUCAGAGGGGAGCCCCGAAACCACCCAAACUCCCCCCUGGGGAGCCCCGAAACCAAAACUUUUAUGGGGGAGCCCCAAAACCACCCAAAUCCCCCCGGGGAGCCCCAAAACCACCCCAAUCCCCCCCGGGGGAGCCCCGAAACCGCCGGCGGCCGGACAGAGCAGCGAGACGAGGAGCAGGGGGCGAAGAAAGUCAUCGAGAACCUGAAACCGAGGGGAACGGCCCCGAAACGCGGCCCCGCGGCAAUAAAUAGGGGGUCCCCGGCCCCACGGGGGGGGGCCCGAUAAAAAGGGGGGGGGGUCCUCAGGUCAAACGAGGGGGCCCCAGUAUAAAAAGGGGGCUCCCAGUACAAAGAGGGGGGCCCCAGUAAAAAGGGGCUCCACGCUGGGGGGGGCUCUGCCUCCAAAAAGGGGUCCCCGGCCCCAAAAUGCGGGGUCUGACCCCAAAACGGGAGUGUUUGACCCCAAAACGGGGGGGUCCCCGACACCAGAUGGCGGUCCCCGGCACUAAAAGGAGGGUUUUGAGCCCCAAAAA